rnacentral:rRNA from 1 species
AUUGAACGCUGGCGGCAUGCUUUACACAUGCAAGUCGAACGGCAGCGCGGGCUUCGGCCUGGCGGCGAGUGGCGAACGGGUGAGUAAUGCAUCGGAACGUGCCCAGUAGUGGGGGAUAGCGCGGCGAAAGGCGGAUUAAUACCGCAUACGACCUGAGGGUGAAAGCGGGGGACCGAAAGGCCUCGCGCUAUUGGAGCGGCCGAGGUCGGAUUAGCUAGUUGGUGGGGUAAAGGCUUACCAAGGCGACGAUCCGUAGCUGGUCUGAGAGGACGACCAGCCACACUGGGACUGAGACACGGCCCAGACUCCUACGGGAGGCAGCAGUGGGGAAUUUUGGACAAUGGGGGCAACCCUGAUCCAGCCAUGCCGCGUGCGGGAAGAAGGCCUUCGGGUUGUAAACCGCUUUUGUUCGGGAAGAAAUCCUCUGGGCUAAUACCCCGGGGUGAUGACGGUACCGGAAGAAUAAGCACCGGCUAACUACGUG